AUUGAACGCUGGCGGCAGGCCUAACACAUGCAAGUCGAGCGGAUGGAGGGAGCUUGCUCCUGGAUUCAGCGGCGGACGGGUGAGUAAUGCAUAGGAAUCUGCCUGGUAGUGGGGGAUAACGUCUGGAAAAGGGCGCUGAUACCGCACACGUCCUGAGGGAGAAGGUGGGGGAUCUUCGGACCGCACGCUAUCAGAUGAGCCUAGGUCGGAUUAGCUAGUUGGUGGGGUAAAGGCCUACCAAGGCGACGAUCCGUAGCUGGUCUGAGAGGAUGAUUAGUCACACUGGAACUGAGACACGGUCCAGACUCCUACGGGAGGCAGCAGUGGGGAAUAUUGGACAAUGGGCGAAAGCCUGAUCCAGCCGUGCCGCGUGUGUGAAGAAGGUCUUCGGAUUGUAAAGCACUUUAUGUUGGGAGGAAGGGCAGUAAGUUAAUACCUUGCUGUUUUGACGUUACCAACAGAAUAAGCACCGGCUAACUACGUG
rnacentral:rRNA from 1 species